rnacentral:rRNA from 1 species
UACGGAGGAUGCGAGCGUUAUCCGGAUUUAUUGGGUUUAAAGGGUGCGUAGGCGGUCCGUUAAGUCAGCGGUAAAAUGUCCGGGCUCAACCCGGGCCGGCCGUUGAAACUGGGGAUCUUGAGUGGGCGAGAAGUAUGCGGAAUGCGUGGUGUAGCGGUGAAAUGCAUAGAUAUCACGCAGAACCCCGAUUGCGAAGGCAGCAUGCCGGCUUCCGACUGACGCUGAAGCACGAAAGCGUGGGUAUCGAACAGG